rnacentral:rRNA from 1 species
UACGUAGGGGGCAAGCGUUGUCCGGAAUUAUUGGGCGUAAAGCGCGUGUAGGCGGUUCGGUAAGUCCGCUGUGAAAGUCGGGGGCUCAACCCUCGGAUGCCGGUGGAUACUGUCGGACUAGAGUACGGAAGAGGCGAGUGGAAUUCCUGGUGUAGCGGUGAAAUGCGCAGAUAUCAGGAGGAACACCGAUUGCGAAGGCAGCUCGCUGGGACGUUACUGACGCUGAGACGCGAAAGCGUGGGGAGCAAACAGG